rnacentral:rRNA from 1 species
UUGGGGAAUAUUGGACAAUGGGCGAAAGCCUGAUCCAGCCAUGCCGCGUGUGUGAAGAAGGUCUUCGGAUUGUAAAGCACUUUAAGUUGGGAGGAAGGGCAGUAAGUUAAUACCUUGCUGUUUUGACGUUACCGACAGAAUAAGCACCGGCUAACUUCGUGCCAGCAGCCGCGGUAAUACGAAGGGUGCAAGCGUUAAUCGGAAUUACUGGGCGUAAAGCGCGCGUAGGUGGUUUUGUAAGUUGGAGGUGAAAUCCCCGGGCUCAACCUGGGAACUGCCUCCAAAACUGCAUGACUAGAGUACGGUAGAGGGUAGUGGAAUUUCCUGUGUAGCGGUGAAAUGCGUAGAUAUAGGAAGGAACACCAGUGGCGAAGGCGACUACCUGGACUGAUACUGACACUGAGGUGCGAAAGCGUGGGGAGCAAACAGGAUUAGAUACCCGGGUAGUCC